GAUAACACUGACGCUCAUGUACGAAAGCGUGGGUAGCAAACAGGAUUAGAUACCCUGGUAGUCCACGCCCUAAACGAUGUCAACUGGUUGUUGGGGGAGUGAAAUCCCUUAGUAACGAAGCUAACGCGUGAAGUUGACCGCCUGGGGAGUACGGUCGCAAGAUUAAAACUCAAAGGAAUUGACGGGGACCCGCACAAGCGGUGGAUGAUGUGGAUUAAUUCGAUGCAACGCGAAAAACCUUACCUACCCUUGACAUGUCCGGAAUCCUGAAGAGAUUUGGGAGUGCUCGAAAGAGAACCGGAACACAGGUGCUGCAUGGCUGUCGUCAGCUCGUGUCGUGAGAUGUUGGGUUAAGUCCCGCAACGAGCGCAACCCUUAUCAUUAGUUGCUACGCAAGGGCACUCUAAUGAGACUGCCGGUGACAAACCGGAGGAAGGUGGGGAUGACGUCAAGUCCUCAUGGCCCUUAUGGGUAGGGCUUCACACGUCAUACAAUGGUCGGUACAGAGGGUUGCCAAGCCGCGAGGUGGAGCCAAUCCCAGAAAGCCGAUCGUAGUCCGGAUUGUUCUCUGCAACUCGAGAGCAUGAAGUCGGAAUCGCUAGUAAUCGCGGAUCAGCAUGUCGCGGUGAAUACGUUCCCGGGUCUUGUACACACCGCCCGUCACACCAUGGGAGUGGAAUCUGGCAGAAGUAGGUAGCCUAACCGCAAGGGGGGCGCUUACCACGCUGGGUUUCAUGACUGGGGUGAAGUCGUAACAAGGUAACCGUA
rnacentral:rRNA from 1 species